rnacentral:misc_RNA from 1 species
UUUCCGUAGGUGAACCUGCGGAAGGAUCAUUAUUGUAUAACCGAGGUGCGAGGGCUGUCGCUGACCCGAAAGGUCGUGCACGCCCGAGUGCCCUCACACACAUCCAUCUCACCCCUAUGUGCACCACCGCGUGGGUCCCCCUUUGGCUUGUUCGGAGGGGGGCUUACGCUUUCACACAAAUUUUGUAUGCAGUGUAGAAUGUAUUUUUUGUUUUUGCGAUCACGCAAUCAAUACAACUUUCAACAACGGAUCUCUUGGCUCUC